ensembl:ncRNA lncRNA:CR45351 long non-coding RNA:CR45351
ACUCGUGACGGAAUCCGAUAACCGAUGGCAUCCAAAUGCUGGCCAUAAAGGGUGAAAUCGCUCGUUAGCCCUCCACAUGACCGUUAAGUGUCUCUGCCCAGCCUGAUUCCUGGAACCCAACCGCCAUAUGCUUAUAUGGCAUGACUGUGGGCUGAGCGCCCCAGUGUCAUCAUUACCAUGACUAGGAUUACGAUUACUGUCAUCGUCGUGUCAUCACAAACACACGCAGACUUAGCGAGCGUCUUUAUGGCUUUUGGCGUUGAAAUGAUAAGUAAAGUUUUUGCAGAACGUAGCGAACAUUUUCCGGACAUGGGGCUUAUGUCCAUGCUGGAAACAUAUGGCAUAUUGCCAGGCGAAACAUUUAAUGGUCUGCAAAAUGGCCCGGGCCGGGACAUUAAAAGUUGCUUAACCUUCAUUAGGCGCCCGAUUCCGCAUCCGAAUCCGACUGACGGCGAGAUGAAAUUUAAUAUAUGUCAGGUCCCGACAUCGGAGGGCUUAAUGCCCCAUUUGUGCAGGGCGCCACUGCAUCCAAAUGAUGGUGCCAGAAAAAAAAAGCAAAUCACCGCAAGUUGGCAUGGAGCUUUAAUCAGCCCAGCAGGCAAAAGGGCUAGUGGUGGUGGACAGGAGGGGGUGGUAUUAAAGGGGCGCAAGGACACUAGGCAAACUCAAUUUCGAGCUUGUUUCACGGGACAACGACCACGCCCAACCCGACCCACCAGAGGCGCUAAUGCGGCGACAUGGCAUUAUCCUUCUUCCUUUCGCGACUUCUUUCCCGACUUUUCCGACCACGGCUGCACUCUCCUUGGGUAUUUUGAUAAUCAAAUUUGCGCAAACAAGCGAGUGGCGUGAAUUUGCCAACGCCACCGGAACAAGGACGAAACAAGGACCAAGGAUAAUAACGGUUGCGCCUCGUGCACUUGUGCAAUUAGAUUGUCAAAAGUUCAGUAACUUUACCCAAACCGAAGCGCCUUAAAUUCUCCAUUGUUCUUCUUUAAAUUACAGUUUCACUAUUUUUGAUUUUAGAUGGUAAU